rnacentral:lncRNA from 1 species
CUGUUUCUGCUCUAUUUUUCUUGUAGAGGAACGCCUCAUAGAUUUUGUCAGCAUCUACCAGCCGGACAUUCGCCAGAUGAAGGUGAAGGAUCUCGUAAAGCUCUAAUAACUUGUCUCUGUCUUCUCCGUUUUCCAUUGCCAGCAGCCGGACCCGGAUUUCUUCAACCGAUGAAGGACCUUCAGAAGGAAGAGGGCAAAAACCCUUCUGCCUAAGUCUCUUAUGUGGAGACGGAAAUUAGUGAAUUUCUGCAUAUAAAGAAAUCGAUGCCAAGGAUUAAAACAGGGAACCCAGACAUGAAGUAUGGGUUGUUGUUGAUAUAAAAGUUCAAUGCAUUCAAAGAUAGUUUACACUCACAGAUUCCAAGGUUAAGAUUUAGAAAACGACAUCAAGAAAAAUAUGAAAAAGGACAUAAUAUGUAACAUGUCGUGUUACCAAUAUACGCGAGAUUUCAAAUAUAAUGAACUACAGAAUUUUGCACCAUACUUCAGAUAAAUUAAGAAAAAGAUGGAUAAUAAGAGCAGAUUGAAGAAAUGUGUCAAACCCUAGCGCAC